UUGUUCUUUGGGAUCGCCCAUCACUUAAUGGGAUCCCGCAUUAGUCACUGGGAUCGCUCAUCAAUUAAUGGAUCCCCCAUUGUUCUUCGGGAUCACCCAUCACUUAAUGGGAUCACCCGUUGACCAUUGGGAUCACCCAUCGGUCUUUGGGGUCGCCCAUCAACGGGAUCCCCUAUUAAUCACUGGGAUUGCUCAUCAAUUAAUGGGAUAAUUAAUGGGAUCUCCCAUAAAUCACUGGGAUCACCCAUUGACCAUUGGGAUCGCCCAUCGGUCUUUGGGAUCGCCCAUCAAUGGGAUCCCUUAUUAAUCACUGGGAUCAGCCAUCAAUUAAUGGGAUCCCCCAUUGACCAUUGGGAUCGCCCAUCGGUCUUUGGGAUCGCCCAUCAAUGGGAUCCCCUAUUAAUCAAUAGGAUCGCAUCAGUCUUUGGGAUUUCUCAUCAAUGGGAUCCCCUAUUAAUCACUGGGAUUGCUCAUCAAUUAAUGGGAUAAUUAAUGGGAUCCCCCAUUAAUCACUGGAAUCUCCCAUUGAUCAUUGGGAUCACCCAUCGUUCUUUGGGAUCGCUCAUCAUUGGGAUCCCCUAUUAAUCACUGGGAUCAGCCAUCAAUUAAUGGGAUCCCCCAUUAAUCACUGGGACCGCUCAUCAAUUAAUGGGAUACCCCCUUAAUCACUGGGAUCAACCAUCAAUUAAUGGGAUCCCCCAUUGACCAUUGGGAUCGCCCAUCGGUCUUUGGUAUCGCCCACCAAUGGGAUCCCCUAUUAAUCAAUAGGAUCGCAUCAGUCUUUGGGAUUGCUCAUCAAUGGGAUCCCCUAUUAAUCACUGGGAUUGCUCAUCAAUUAAUGGGAUAAUUAAUGGGAUCCCCCAUUAAUCACUGGGAUCACCCAUUGACCAUUGGGAUCACCCAUCAUUCUUUGGGAUCGCUCGUCAGUGGGAUCCCCUAUUAAUCACUGGGAUCACCCAUUGACCAUUGGGAUCACCCAUCGGUCUUUGGGAUCAGCCAUCCAUUAAUGGGGUCCCCUAUUAAUCACUGGGAUCAGUCAUCAAUUAAUGGGAUCCCCCAUUGUUCUUUGGGAUCGCCCAUCAAUGGGAUCCCCUAUUAAUCACUGGGAUCAGCCCUCAAUUAAUGGGAUCCCCUAUCGUUCUUUGGGAUCGCCCAUCAAUGGGAUCCCCUAUUAAUCACUGGGAUCAGCCAUCAAUUAAUGAGCCCCCCCCACCCCAUCGCUAAUUGCGACCGACCGCCCAUCUUUGGGAUCAGCCAUGGACUCCUGGGAUCCCCUAUUAACCUCUGGGGUCCGCCGCCGAUCAUUGGGGCCACCCAUUGCUCUUUGGGGUCACCCGUUGUUCUUUGGGAUCCCCCACUGAUCUUUGGGAUUUCCGCCCCCCCCCCCUUUUGGGGUCUCCCGUUGCCCCCCUCCCUGUAGAUACUGUACAGCCCCUUUGUAGACGUCGGGAUUUUUUCUAUGCACUUUUGGGGACGGAUUUUUUGGGGGGGUUUUGGGGGGAGGGGGUUUUUAUGGUUUCGGUCGGUUUGGGGUUUUGGGGGUUUUUUUUGUUUUUUAUUUAAGGUGGGGGCGGAACCGC
rnacentral:lncRNA from 1 species